UCUCUUCAGUCUUUAUCCCUCAUUCGUUUCUCUUUGGCUUAAACGCAGAGCACCCUGUUCUCGCUCUCCCUGUUCUCGCUCUCUUCAGUCUUCAUCUACCCUUCACUCGCUCUCACUGUAUACUUCUGUCAGGUUUUGCCGAUAAGCUUCUUUGCCUUUGCCUCUCUCAAUUAUCAAAACCCUAAAAGUCUGAAACCAACCGUUCUCUCUGCCUUUCUAUGCCGUUCUCUCUAUAUCCCUUAUAGUCCACCAUAGCCAUCUCUCCCACCCAUGACUGAGCCGUUACCCAUCAUAGCCAUCGCAAAGUCUCCAAUGUUGCAGGCCCAGUUACGCAGGUAAUGCAGCUGGAGCUGAAUUUGAAUAUGAGGGGACGUGCCUGGGAACUGAAAGACGGAUGAUUUUGUUGAUGAUAAUUCAAGAAUCUCAUUCGACCAGUUGAUACUUAUAUUAGAUGAACUCCAUAAGAUCAAGUAAAGAAUACCUUAAGAGAAGAUUUCUUGAAGAGAACUCCAAUGAGAGUCUUCUUUCUGUAACAAAUCCUGCAUAUUGGUGUUAGG